CUACGAGUACGAAUACGUCUACGAAUACGAAUGCGUCUACGAAUACGAAUACGACUACGAAUACGAAAUAACGCCGUUGGUUGACACUAAGACUUCGAAUAUACAGUUAAUGUACUCCUUGAGUGUCACCAGAGUUUCGAAUUUAUUACGAAAAUACACCUCUGGACCUCUACUGAGUUUCGAAUAUAUCCGCCUCAGAAUGUCGACAGAGCUUCGAAAUUACAACUAAGUUAGUAGAUUAUAGUCAUCCGAUCGUAGAAUAACUAAGGAAGUAGAACACAUAAUUAAUACUACUCACAUAGUAAUUACUGGUAUUUCGAAAUCAGACUUAAGAACAAAACACCACACAUAGGAAAAUAUGGGAUUUUCCUGGGAUAGCAUUAAAAUCAGUAACGAACCUAGAUACAAAUAGACAACUCAACACAUAGGAAAAUAUGGGAUUUUCCUGGGUAACACAACAGCACAUAAUCGAAUAAAGAAACAAACUAAUAACUAAAACUAUAAGGAAAAUAUGGGAUUUUCUUGGAAUGUCAUAACCAACCGUUUUCGGAAUUGUAACAAAGGAUAACUAAACUGUUUUUAAUAAGAAAAUAUGGGAUUUUCUUCAUCAACAACUUUUCUCGAACGUAAAGGAACUCGUCUUUUCAAAACUAAACUGCUUACGAACUCACCAGCUUUAUGCUGAUUUUCAAACUGCUUGUAUUCUCAGGUCAACGUUAGACAGGUACAUCGCAACCUUUUGGAGAAGACGGAGCAUCCCGAAGACUCGUCUUUACUUUUGUCUAUAUUACAUAUGUAUAAUACAUGUACAACUUUACUUUCAAUCAGAUGUAAACAAUAUUAUGUAAUGUAAUGUUUUGUGAUUACUGCUUUACUAUGUGCAUUGGAUUUGAUACUCAACGUGGAGUCAACCCCGGAAAUGUUUCCGCCUUUGGUUUUCGGGGUGUGACAGAUUGGUAUCAGAGCCCUUGUUUUUAGUGAACUGGUUUACCAAAGCUUACAUGGUAUAAGACUAUAAACAUUAAAGGGCCUAAGUGCUCUGAACUAAAAGUAUCCUACAAUAUAUAAGUAUUUUCAAAAGUAUUUAAGUAUGUCGAGCCGUCGAAAUCUGUAACUAUAAGUAGAUCAAAACAUAAGUAAAUGGGUGUUGUACACCGCGGUUAAACCCGGGCAGUUAUGUAGUCGUGUCUAGGGUCAAUAAAGCCUGGCCAACUAUAUUCAUUCGAGACACGGCCAACAUGUGCUUGGGAGUGACUGUGGCAUGCGGCAUACCUAAAACUUACCUAAUAUCCCAAACAACGAAUCGUCGCUGCAGCAAACCAUGAAAUACUAUGGGAGUAUUUCUCGAGCCGAUCUUUGCAGAAAUCCUCGUAUACGCAUUAUUCCUUGAUCAUUCCUCUAGCAAUAAAAUGUUCUAUCUUAACUCCUUUCUGCUUUAUCGCUUAGUAUGAUGCUAUAUUUGUCUUGAUGAGAUAUCUCCUGUCUCAUAUCUCUUAAUUCAAUUCAGAGGACUUAUCAUCCUCUCUUCCUUGAUCUUAUUAGACCAAUAUGCCUCCAAGAAAGAGACCCAGCUCUAAGACCAGCAACCCUCCGCCACCACCUCCUCUUCAAAUCGAUCUGGAAACUUUUCAGGCAACCAUUUCUGCCACAAUAUCAGCCCUCCUACCUCAAUUUAACCCCAAUGGUCCAGGAAGUGGUUCCCAAAACCAAGAAGGUAAUCAGGAACACCGGAAGGAGUGUUCCUAUAAAGACUUUAUGAACGCAAAACCUACAUUCUUUGAUGGCAUAGGGGUGUCAUUGCUCUAACUCGGUGGUUAGAGAAAAUCGAAUCUGUUUUCGAGAUCUGUGCCUAUUCGGAUUCCGAUAAAGUAAAGUUUGCCGCCUGUACUCUCCUCGAUAAAGCUUUGACUUGGUGGAACGGCCGAGUCAAAUCCCUGACCUUAUCAGUAGCUAAUGCUAUGGGAUGGGAAGUAAUGAAGGAACUCCUACGUGCGGAGUAUUGCCCUCGGGGUGAAAUCCAGAAGCUGGAAAACGAGCUAUGGAACCUGAAGAUGAAAGGUUCCGAUAUCGCCUCUUACACUUCAAGGUUUGAUGACCUGGCACUCCUUUGUCCGGGAAUGGUUACCCCGGAAAGCAAAAAGAUAGAAAGAUUCAUCUGGGGAUUAACCCAGCCAACAAAGGGGAACGUUAUAGCAGCAAAGCCAGAUACCUACGACAGUGCAAAGUGUCUGGCUCAAACUUUGAUCGAUCACAGUGAUGUGCAAGAAGAAGCAGACACCACCCCCGAGCCCACAGAAAAGAGUGGCGAGAAAAGAAAGUUUUGGAAGAAGAAGAAGAGUCAGUCUUCCCCAGAACUCUCAAAGAAACAGCAAAUAGUGGCAGUUCAAGCUGCCACUAUCCCUGCUGUUGUUUCUGUUGUCAAUUCCACAUCUCAAGCACCUGUCACCGGAUAUGCCGGUAUCCUCCCAUGGUGUAACCAUUGUAGUUACCACCAUCGCAUCCCUAGCCCUUGUCGUGCAAAGUUAUGUAGAAGUUGUGGCCAGGAAGGUCACCUCGCACGAACCUGCAAAACCCUAACCCCAUCAACUAGUCAGGCUUCCGGAGCAGGUAUCGGUCAAACCUGCUACAGUUGUGGAGAAGUAGGACACUAUAAGCGAAACUGUCCGAAGACGGUAACAUCUGGCAACAUCGGUAGAGUCCUAACCAUGGGAAAAGAAAGGACAGACGCCGAUCCCACCGUUGCUACAGGUAUACUUCUCUUUGAUAAAUCUUGUGCCUGUGAUCCUUCUCGAUUUUAAUGUGGUAAAAAUUUGCUAAUCAUUCAUUCAAAUAUCUAUCUAGACUAAAUUCUUUGUCAAUAAUCGAAACGUGCACCGUCAAGAUAACUAACCAGUAAGAUAGAGAAACGAGAAAUUAACAACUCUUUCCUCUCAAUGUCUAUCCCGAAGAAUUCCCGGGAUUUUCUUUCGAACGUCUAGUUUAGUCUCACAUCUGACCCUCCGAUAUCUUUAUAGAAAUCGAUUCUACAACCCUUAGAUUUCGGAUACCCUUAGAACUUGAUAACAUCUAUCUAGACCACCACGUCUCAAAUCCUUAGAAGCGUCUACCAACCGAAACCCUAGUGAUUCCUUGAGGAAACCGAAGUCGUCCAGGGUUGAAACCUCCAUGAGAAAACAAAUUGCUAUCGUAGAUUGAGAGAGUCAAUGUGCGAAACAAAGACACGUCCCGCUAAUGAGAAUUCGUUAGAACGCCCAGCAGAGACCUGAUUCCACUUGAGAAAGUGAAGAUCCGAUGCAACAAAUCUAUUCGUGUCUCAUUCCAAUCCAUGAUCUGUAUCUUAUUCUUUGAAUUUCGGGACGAAAUUCCCUCUAACGGGGGAUAAUGUAACAACCCGAAGUUGUUCAUCGCCAAAACCCCGUUCUACCCGUAUAACUCGUCAUAAAUCGAAAUGUCCUGAUAUCGUUUUUGGGUUUAGUUAGUAAAAUUUAUAUGUUUAUUUUAACUCAAUGAGUGUCCAAUCCAUUUAGGAACUCAAGAAAUUAGCCCAAAAACAUUUGUUACAUAAGUUUUAGAAACGUCCCCGCCGGGUGACGGGAACUCAAUCGGGUGCGACCUAAAGCUUCGUUUAAGGUCGGUAUCGGGUAGAUUUCCACCGUGUCCAAGUUUUAGGAACUAUAUAAACGUGUUUAACCUAUCAUUUGAAGCUUUUUCCUUCUCUCUCUACUCUCUCUCUAACCUCUCUCCUAAAUCCAAAGAUUAAGGGUCCAAAACUCAAUUUUAAGGCCUCAAAUCCUUAAGGUACCUUCCUAGCCUUAAUCUAUAGCAUAUUUGGCUUUCAAAUUCGACAUUUAAUCAUGAAAUGGGACACAAAAUAUGAGUUUACGGCCCAGGAAGCCACCUAGGCCGUAAACACCAAGUUUGAAGGGUUUUAAGCCCUUAAACCUCUUCCUAAUCACAUUUGGACUUUAGAUAUGGCUAAAGGACUUCAAGAUAUGGACUUAGAACAUUUAAAACAUAGUUUUUGAUGGAUUUGAAGGAGUUUACGGCCAUGGAACAAGCUUGGGCCGUAAACUCAUAUUUAAGGGGUUUUCUUGACCUUAAACCCUUCCAAAUCACAUAUAAGGCUUAGAUAUGAAUUAUAGAAUAUUGGCUUUAGCAUUUGGACACUUGAAACAUGAUUUUUGGGGGACUUAUGUGAGUUUACGGCCAAGGCAUGUGCUUGGGCCGUAAACUCCUCAAAACAUAGCAUAAAUUCAAUUUUAGGGUGUUAGAAAGCCAUCCAAAACCACCAAAAGCCUUGGAAUAAAUCAUAGGACCAACCAAAAACAGUUUAAGGGCCUUAAACACAUUAUUUGAGGGAUUUCUAAGAGUUUACGGCCAAGGCUUGUGCUUGGGCCGUAAACUCCUUGAUUCAUGGUGUUAGAAUGCCAACUAAACACCCCUAAAGCCCUUAGAUGAAAUUUAGAAGCUCUUCCAUGCAAGUUUCUAGCCUUAAAACAUCUUGUAUCAACCUAUAGAAGAGUUUACGGCCAUGAGGGGGGUCUCAUAGGCCGUAAACUCCAAAAACCCAAUCAAAUCAUCAAGUAAAUGCAUGAAAGGCCUUGGAAUAAUUCUACCAAUCACAUGUGAUUUGUUCUAGCUCCAUUUAACACAAUUUUCAUGAGAAAAUAGGAGUUUACGGCCAUGAAGCCAUGCUAGGCCGUAAACUCCCAUAAGUGGGUCUAUUUGAUGUUUUAAAAUCAUUUCAAGUCCUUAAACCAAGUCUAGAAAUUAUCCCCUAAGUGUUUGAAGUCAUUUAGCACCAUAAACCACCCCCACCAUGAGUUUACGGCCGUAAACUCAUGGGGAAUGGGUGUUUUAGACCUUAAAAUCUUGUAUGAGUUUAUUCAUGGGGAAUAAACUCAAGUCCCAAGUCCCUAGUGUCAUUUCACGUCCUUAAACGCCACCCGGGUCCCUCCAAACACUCGUAUCGGGGUGUUUUCGCGAAUAGAAGCAAUUGUCCCUAACAAAUAGCUAAUCUAAGUCCUAAUUAGAUACAAAUGUGUAUCUUUAAAUUAUACUUAGGAACGUCGCUCAUUUACAAGGCUCGGACCAAAGUUUAGCAUCCGAAAUCGUCACGUUUCUCAUCCGGUGAGUUCAUACCCCUACCCUUUUUCACUGUUUUUAACUGUUUUCAGGGGGGAAUACAAGCAAAAGUACAAGUGUAUCUUGUACUUAAACUGAUUUACAACUUAAUGAUUUUAGUUUCUAAAUCUCAUGAUUUCCAAAGAUUAUGAUAACUGAUGUUUCGAAUUGCAGGUUAGUUAUAGAUUUCUUUUGAAAAGUGUUUUGAUCUAUAUUGUCUUUUGUAAAAGAAAUCUUACUAAUUAUAACAAAUAUAACUAAUAGGAUAGAACGAAUGCGAAUACGAAUAUAACUAAGUACGAAUACGAAUAACGAAUUCGAAUACUAAUAGGAAUACGAAUACGAAUCCUAAUACGAAUACGAAUGUAAUUUAGAACGAAUACUAAUACGAAUACGAAUGUAAUUUAGAACGAAUACGUCUACGAAUACGAAUACGUCUACGAAUAUGAAUACGAAUACGUCUACGAAUACGAAUGCGUCUACGAAUACGAAUACGACUACGAAUACGAAAUAACGCCUGUGGUUGACACUAAGACUUCGAAUAUACAAUUAAUGUACUCCUUGAGUGUCACCAGAAUUUCGAAUUUAUUACGAAAAUACACCUCUGGACCUCUACUGAGUUUCGAAUAUAUCCGCCUCAGAAUGUCGACAGAGCUUCGAAGUCACAACUAAGUUAGUAGAUUAUAGUCAUCUGAUUGUAAAAUAACUAAGGAAGUAGAACACAUAACUAAUACUACUCACAUAGUAAUUACUGGUACUUCGAAAUUANAUUUCGAAAUCAGACUUAAGAACAAAACACCACACAUAGGAAAAUAUGGGAUUUUCCUGGGAUAGCAUUAAAAUCAGUAACGAACCUAGAUACAAAUAGACAACUCAACACAUAGGAAAAUAUGGGAUUUUCCUGGGUAACACAACAGCACAUAAUCGAAUAAAGAAACAAACUAAUAACUAAAACUAUAAGGAAAAUAUGGGAUUUUCCUGGAAUGUCAUAACCAACCGUUUUCGGAAUUGUAACAAAGGAUAACUAAACUGUUUUUAAUAAGAAAAUAUGGGAUUUUUUUCAUCAACAACUUUUCUCGAACGUAA
rnacentral:lncRNA from 1 species